AGUAGAAUUCCUGGAUUAUAUAACAGUUCUCCUUCUAGUUUUUAAAGAAAUGUCCAUACUGUUUUCUGUAAAAAGGCUGCAUAAUUUAUAUUCCCACCAAGAAU
rnacentral:pre_miRNA from 1 species